CAUUUAAAUUUUAUCUGAUAUAUGAAAACUGGAAGGAUGCAGAGAAGACUAGCAUGGCCCACAAAUAAGGAUAACACCAAAUUCUUGAAGCCUUCCAUAUUUUU
ensembl:snRNA U6 U6 spliceosomal RNA